GCGAUGCAACAAACAGGUGCUGUGGAAACGUGGGAGUCCGUCUGCCAUUCACAACUUCCUCUAGACACCAGCAGCUUCUGGCCACUUGAAUGAACGGCUUUUUAUAAUGUUGAAGCUUCGCGAGUUAUAAUAAAGCGUUUCAAACACCCAAGUCAAAGUGACACAGAGACAACACUGAAGCGAAGCUAGCCGCUUUCUGUCCAGCGGUUGAGCUGCGCUGAGCCGUUCGCGGUCGCACUGAAAGCAGCCGCGGAAUGCUAAGCUAAUGCAUUUGGGAGCUUCAUCGACUCCACUUGUAACAGCGUUUUCGUCGCCCUUCAAUGCUGCUGUGACUCUUAACUCGCAACGGUAGACGAAACCAAUUCAGCGUCACGUUUACAUGGCCUAGCAAACACAAGCACCGACCUCAAGUUACCAGCCCGAUGCUUUCCACACGCCCGCCAUUUAGCGUGGCGAAGAAGUUCGGGAAAUUACACACUGUUUCUAUCAGCUCCCAGGAAGUCGAUGAGAGUCACCGCUGACGUCGGCACACCGUAGUCCGGCCAGCUGAGGUACUGGAAGUGACUCACGUGUCUCUGCUCACAUGUCUGGACAGUGGUUGGACAGACUGAUGUUCGCUUGUUCAGACUGAUCUGUCGGCCCAUGACUCGGUACAAGUGCUGCGUAACAGGGACUGCGGUGUCGAGGUGAGAGAUUAAUCCUUCCUAAAAGGUCAAAGUUUUCAUCCCUGCGCCACCCGGUCAGGUCUGGAAACUGUCUGAGCUGCAGAGCCUCUCCGCAUUUUGUCACAUCAUAACCACAAACUUUCAGGGGGGCUGUGUGGGGGUAUGGGGGCUCUUUGAUAGACCAAAAACAAAUUAGCAUUUCAAUACGAGGUGGAAAGAACUAAUAACAAAUAAGAAUCUUUAAAAUUACAGUGUGACUCUGUGUUCAGCCUCACUGAGUGAGAACUAGUUAGAACUACCUUAAGGCGCAGUUACAGCUACAGGCCUGUAGGGGGUGUCUGUACCAGCUUUUUGGGUGUAAAUGCUGAUAUUUUCUUUCCUCCAUUCUGUUUUUCAAAAUAGCUCCAGUUCAGUUAGAUUGGAUGGAGACUGUGACCAAGUCCAUCUGAUUGGACUUCAGUAUGGACUUUGACUGGGUCAUUUCAACGCUUGAAUAAGGUUGAAGCUAAAUGUUUACUUUUUUGUAAAUGUGCACCAUUUUGGUUGUAAAAACAAACAUUUUUCUACAAGUCUGCUAUCUAAUGUAAAUUGCUUGUGACAAGCUGUCAUUGGGACAAUUUUUCUCUUCUUCUUCUACUGUAACGGAGUUGAAACAUGCUCUCACUAGAACCAAAUAUGGAGGAGCGCCAUUUAUUUUCUACGCUCCACAAAUCUGGAACAAACUUCCAGAAUAGUACAAAACUGCCGAAACGCUGAGUUCCUUUAAAUCAAGGUUAAAAACCCACCUAUACAGUGUUGCCUUUGAUAAAUAAUGGCUUGAACAUUGAUUAUUAUAUUUGAUGUAUAUUUCUUUGAUGAUUUUGAUGAGGGCAUUUGACCAAAAUAUCUUUGUUUUAUAAUCCAUUACCAUAUUACAUGGUGUCCACAUGUAAUAUGGUAAUCAAGUCCAAUUCAAGACUUUAUUAGACCUUUCCAGACCAUUGUGAAGGCAAUUUAACACCUGUACCACUGCAGAAUAUGCAAAAGAAAAUUGAACAUUUUAUGUAGUAGCUGUUUUGCACAGAACGGGUUGGAAACAGAAGGGAGCCAGUGGCAAAAACAAAUUGGCGAUAAAUUUAAACUUACCAAUGAUAGACACAAAAAAGCUAGCUAGAAAGGGUUUAUUAGCAGCUCAUAAGCGGUAGCCUCACCCGCCUUGAGUUAUGACCUGUGGUUAAUGUAUUCAAGGCCAACGUAGGCUAGGCAAGGCAACUUUAUUUAUAUAGCACCUUUCAGCCAAAGACAAUUCAAAGUGCGUGUACAAAAAACAACAUACAACAAGAAGAUAAUAAAAAGAAAGUAAAUUAAAGAUCAAGCAGAUUAAAAAUGAACAAAAUAAACAUUACAGUUUUGAAUAUAGUUAAAAACAAACAUUUAAAAAUAGGCAAUGUCAAAUAAGGUUUUUAGCCUUGUUUUAAAUAAACUCAAGGUAGGGGCAGUCUUACAAUGAGCAGGAAGCUUAUUCCAGAGUGUUGGAGCAUAAAAACUAAAAGCUGCUUCACCAUGUUUAGUUCUGAAGUUUAGUUAGAAGGUUUGAUUCUGAUGAUCUUAAAGGUCUGAGUGGUAUAUAUGGUUGAAGAAGAUCAGAAAUAUAGUCUGGGUUUCUGUUAUGAAGUGCUUCGUAAACCAUUAAGGAGAUUUUAAAGUCUAUUCUUUGAGUAACAGGCUACAUACUUUGUAAAACAUUUAAUACAUCUUAAGGCCACAAUUUUAGGUACAUGAAUUUAAGACUUUUCAAGGACUCUCUUGUAUGCUGUUUUUAUGAUCUAAAGCCCUUUGAAUGGCCUUGCUGAUGAAAUGUGCUAGACAAAUAAAACUGCCUCGACUUCUGUUGGGCAUUCAAAACUUCUCCACAACCUUUCCCCCCUGACAUGUCUGCUAUUCACUUGACUCAUUUUUGGGGACUGAACACAAAUGCCACACUUUUAAUAUUUUUAUUGGUCUACUUAGGUCUACUUUUUGCACUUUUCGUUUGCACCCUAUUAACCUUCCACCAAUAUUAUGCAUCAAAAGCCUAAAAUAAGAGAUAAUGCUGACUAAAGAGGAUGACUCACUCACUGAGAUCAUCAAAUAAAUAAGGAACUAGGACUUUGAUCACCACGUUCCACUUUGAUGGUGGAGAGAUCAGUUGAUAUCUGAAACCGUUCUGCUUGUCACUUUUGAUUUCACAACCUCAACUCAUCUCGCCCUCCUGCACGCACACACGCAUACACACACGUAUGCAUACAUGGUUGCACUACUUCACAAUGUCCCUACAGCAGAGACGGACACGCCCGGCUCCGAUAGUCGUGCUGAGAUGUGUGAAGUCGUACGUUUCUUAAUGCUCCUCUUCUCUCCCUGGGAGGCAGCUGAGAAGCAGGAAGCUGAAAAAGAUGCUCGGUUCAGAUGCACAGCUGUUGUUCAUCUGUUAUGCCUCAAAAAAAAAAAAAAAAAAAAAAGAAAGUCCAGAAAAAACAAACAACAAAAUCCCAGAUUCCGUUUCCAUCCGUCUCUUUUAUCUGGACACAGUUCCUUUACGUCGAUAUCGUCUGACUGCGUGCUCAGCUCCUCCCUGCUACCCUCCAUGUUUCUUUUGAUAACACAAGUAGGAUUUGUUCACGAGUGCUUCGGUUCUCCAUAAAGUUAAAAACGCCUCUUGGAAUAUCCCUCUGGUGAUGAGUCGGCGUGAGACCGUGUUCCUGGGAAUGUUGCGCUAGUCUUUUGUGUUGCGCUCGUUUGCUGCGAACGAUGCGGGUACUACUCACCAACUUUCCUCAAUCAAUAACGCAGGCCAGUUUUAUGCUUUCAGCUCUACUGCACUGAAAGCUGCAUGACAGAAAAAGUAGCAUGAACUCGAUCACCUUUAUUAAUAGAGAAUAAAUAUGUCAACAUUAUUCCAGAAGCUUGUUGAUGCCCAUAACUCAAGUGUUGUACUUCAGUUCAUUUUAAAUUAAAAAAUAUUGUCUUCACCCCAAAGGGAAAUCAAAUGUUGUAACAACUCCUACCAAAGUAGCUUAAAAUGGAUGGCCUCUGACUAGGGCUGGGCAAUAGAUCAAUAACAUUAUAGAUCGCUAUAGACGGGUGAUCAAUAUGAAUAGAUUAUGCAUUCAUUUCAAUCCAGAACCGUGGAGCAUUCUGGGGGAUGCAGGCAGAGGAAAAGCUUUAGCUGCUCAACCUCUCAUGUCCAGCUAAGUUAGUCUAGUAACAUCAACUAACUCACUCACUAUUUGGUUGCCUAGCAACAACCUGUUGCACGGCAGCAGUUUAAGGCUUUUCAGAACAACGCUGGUAAAGACAUUGUUAAAGGGUUAAUGGAGGAGCCAUGUUGUGGUGACUUCCUGAAGGCAGAGUUUCAGAAAGAGCAGGAGUUUCUUAAAGAGACAAAGACCCAGUUUCAAGCCCAAGUCAAAUUUCUAUAAUAUAUGUAGAAUUUUUAUAACAGAAAAUUAACCUAAUUACUUGAUAGUGCCAUUUUAUAACAUAAUAUGCCAAGGAAAAUAACUUUUACCUUUAUUUAACGAGGUAAGUUAUUAAGAACAUGUUCCUUUUUACAAUAACAAGAGGGACAGAGGGAAGAACACAAAGGUAAUAAUCUUUGUGUUUUGGAUCAACAAUGUUCUGAUUAGUAUUCCACAUAAAUUAGACAACUAUGUUUUGUUUUAUUAAAAAUUUAAUGUAUAUUACUGAGACCAAACUGAAAAAACAAACAUUUAUUUAGAUAUGUUUGUGACCUGUGGGUGAUUUCAAUGCAACAAUUUUGACUCUAUGGUAAAAAUGUUUGGACUCAACUGUACCAGAUCAAAUUACAAAGGUUUCCAUCUACCCACUAAACCUCCGUCUCUGAGAAAAAGGAGUGAUGUAAAUAUUUGUCAUUACAAAAAUAUUUAAGGAUGAAUCUACCUGCCAUUUUUUGUUUUAUUUUAACAGACCCAUAUGGCUUUUACAGGACCACAUCCACAAUUUUGAUGUGCAGUCAUACUAGAGCAGCAACUGCAGAAACAUUUCAGACUAGGGAUCUUCGUCUGGCCUUAAACCACAAAAGGAAACUGAACUAAAGUAAAUGUUAUUCACAGCAAAGGGUUUUGAUGCUCGUUACUCCUUAUCGACAAAAUCCAGGGCUGGCAAGUUCAGCUGGAAGCAGAUGCUUUAAGCACAUGAUGACACAUCAGGUUAGCAGCGUCC